rnacentral:rRNA from 1 species
GUGGGGAAUAUUGGACAAUGGGGGGAACCCUGAUCCAGCCAUGCCGCGUGUGUGAAGAAGGCCUUUUGGUUGUAAAGCACUUUAAGCGAGGAGGAGGCUAUCGAGAUUAAUACUCUUGGAUAGUGGACGUUACUCGCAGAAUAAGCACCGGCUAACUCUGUGCCAGCAGCCGCGGUAAUACAGAGGGUGCGAGCGUUAAUCGGAUUUACUGGGCGUAAAGCGUGCGUAGGCGGCUGAUUAAGUCGGAUGUGAAAUCCCUGAGCUUAACUUAGGAAUUGCAUUCGAUACUGGUCAGCUAGAGUAUGGGAGAGGAUGGUAGAAUUCCAGGUGUAGCGGUGAAAUGCGUAGAGAUCUGGAGGAAUACCGAUGGCGAAGGCAGCCAUCUGGCCUAAUACUGACGCUGAGGUACGAAAGCAUGGGGAGCAAACAGGAUUAGAUACCCCAGUAGUCC